ensembl:piRNA 21ur-1293 ncRNA
UUCCUCAAUUGCAAUGUCUUU